rnacentral:rRNA from 1 species
UAGGGAAUAUUGCACAAUGGGCGAAAGCCUGAUGCAGCAACGCCGCGUGCACGAUGAAGGCCUUCGGGUCGUAAAGUGCUUUUCGGGGAGAUGAGAAAGGACAGUAUCCCCGGAAUAAGGAUCGGCUAACUACGUGCCAGCAGCCGCGGUAAAACGUAGGAUCCGAGCGUUAUCCGAAUUUACUGGGCGUAAAGCGCGUGUAGGCGGUUCGGUAAGUUGGAUGUGAAAUCUCCUGGCUCAACUGGGAGAGGUCGUUCAAUACUGUCGGACUAGAGGGUGGUAGAGGGAGGUGGAAUUCCCGGUGUAGUGGUGAAAUGCGUAGAUAUCGGGAGGAACACCAGUGGCGAAAGCGGCCUCCUAGACCGCUCCUGACGCUCAGACGCGAAAGCUAGGGGAGCAAACGGGAUUAGAAACCCGGUAGUCCUAGCUGUAAACGAUGUGAACUUGGCGUUGGUGGGGUAAAAGCCAUCAGUGCCGAAG